GACGAACGCUGGCGGCGUGCCUAAUACAUGCAAGUAGAACGCUGAAGAGAGGAGCUUGCUCUUCUUGGAUGAGUUGCGAACGGGUGAGUAACGCGUAGGUAACCUGCCUUGUAGCGGGGGAUAACUAUUGGAAACGAUAGCUAAUACCGCAUAACAAUGGAUGACACAUGUCAUUUAUUUGAAAGGGGCAAUUGCUCCACUACAAGAUGGACCUGCGUUGUAUUAGCUAGUAGGUGAGGUAACGGCUCACCUAGGCGACGAUACAUAGCCGACCUGAGAGGGUGAUCGGCCACACUGGGACUGAGACACGGCCCAGACUCCUACGGGAGGCAGCAGUAGGGAAUCUUCGGCAAUGGGGGCAACCCUGACCGAGCAACGCCGCGUGAGUGAAGAAGGUUUUCGGAUCGUAAAGCUCUGUUGUAAGUCAAGAACGAGUGUGAGAGUGGAAAGUUCACACUGUGACGGUAGCUUACCAGAAAGGGACGGCUAACUACGUGCCAGCAGCCGCGGUAAUACGUAGGUCCCGAGCGUUGUCCGGAUUUAUUGGGCGUAAAGCGAGCGCAGGCGGUUUGAUAAGUCUGAAGUUAAAGGCUGUGGCUCAACCAUAGUUCGCUUUGGAAACUGUCAAACUUGAGUGCAGAAGGGGAGAGUGGAAUUCCAUGUGUAGCGGUGAAAUGCGUAGAUAUAUGGAGGAACACCGGUGGCGAAAGCGGCUCUCUGGUCUGUAACUGACGCUGAGGCUCGAAAGCGUGGGGAGCGAACAGGAUUAGAUACCCUGGUAGUCCACGCCGUAAACGAUGAGUGCUAGGUAUUGGAUCCUUUCCGGGAUUCAGUGCCGCAGCUAACGCAUUAAGCACUCCGCCUGGGGAGUACGACCGCAAGGUUGAAACUCAAAGGAAUUGACGGGGGCCCGCACAAGCGGUGGAGCAUGUGGUUUAAUUCGAAGCAACGCGAAGAACCUUACCAGGUCUUGACAUCCCGAUGCUAUUUCUAGAGAUAGAAAGUUACUUCGGUACAUCGGUGACAGGUGGUGCAUGGUUGUCGUCAGCUCGUGUCGUGAGAUGUUGGGUUAAGUCCCGCAACGAGCGCAACCCCUAUUGUUAGUUGCCAUCAUUCAGUUGGGCACUCUAGCGAGACUGCCGGUAAUAAACCGGAGGAAGGUGGGGAUGACGUCAAAUCAUCAUGCCCCUUAUGACCUGGGCUACACACGUGCUACAAUGGUUGGUACAACGAGUUGCGAGUCGGUGACGGCAAGCUAAUCUCUUAAAGCCAAUCUCAGUUCGGAUUGUAGGCUGCAACUCGCCUACAUGAAGUCGGAAUCGCUAGUAAUCGCGGAUCAGCACGCCGCGGUGAAUACGUUCCCGGGCCU
rnacentral:rRNA from 1 species